GGGGAUGUACCUCAACGGUGGAGUACUUGCCUGGCAUGCAUGAAGCUCUGGAUUCAAAUCCGCCUCCCCCA
rnacentral:tRNA from 1 species